rnacentral:rRNA from 1 species
CAUGGGGGGGCCUAAUACAUGCAAGUCGAACGCACUCUCGUUUAGAUUGAAGGAGCUUGCUCCUGAUUGAUAAACAUUUGAGUGAGUGGCGGACGGGUGAGUAACACGUGGGUAACCUGCCCUAAAGUGGGGGAUAACAUUUGGAAACAGAUGCUAAUACCGCAUAAAACCUAACACCGCAUGGUGUAGGGUUGAAAGAUGGUUUCGGCUAUCACUUUAGGAUGGACCCGCGGUGCAUUAGUUAGUUGGUGAGGUAAAGGCUCACCAAGACCGUGAUGCAUAGCCGACCUGAGAGGGUAAUCGGCCACACUGGGACUGAGACACGGCCCAGACUCCUACGGGAGGCAGCAGUAGGGAAUCUUCCACAAUGGACGAAAGUCUGAUGGAGCAACGCCGCGUGAGUGAAGAAGGUUUUCGGAUCGUAAAACUCUGUUGUUGGAGAAGAAUGUAUCUGAUAGUAACUGAUCAGGUAGUGACGGUAUCCAACCAGAAAGCCACGGCUAACUACGUGCCAGCAGCCGCGGUAAUACGUAGGUGGCAAGCGUUGUCCGGAUUUAUUGGGCGUAAAGCGAGCGCAGGCGGUUUCUUAAGUCUGAUGUGAAAGCCUUCGGCUCAACCGAAGAAGUGCAUCGGAAACUGGGAAACUUGAGUGCAGAAGAGGACAGUGGAACUCCAUGUGUAGCGGUGAAAUGCGUAGAUAUAUGGAAGAACACCAGUGGCGAAGGCGGCUGUCUGGUCUGUAACUGACGCUGAGGCUCGAAAGCAUGGGUAGCAAACAGGAUUAGAUACCCUGGUAGUCCAUGCCGUAAACGAUGAGUGCUAGGUGUUGGAGGGUUUCCGCCCUUCAGUGCCGCAGCUAACGCAUUAAGCACUCCGCCUGGGGAGUACGACCGCAAGGUUGAAACUCAAAGGAAUUGACGGGGGCCCGCACAAGCGGUGGAGCAUGUGGUUUAAUUCGAAGCAACGCGAAGAACCUUACCAGGUCUUGACAUCCUUUGACCACUCUAGAGAUAGAGCUUUCCCUUCGGGGACAAAGUGACAGGUGGUGCAUGGUUGUCGUCAGCUCGUGUCCUGAGAUGUUGGGUUAAGUCCCGCAACGAGCGCAACCCUUAUUACUAGUUGCCAGCAUUUAGUUGGGCC